rnacentral:rRNA from 1 species
UACAGAGGGGGCAAGCGUUAUUCGGAAUUAUUGGGCGUAAAGAGCGUGUAGGCGGUCCGGUAAGUCAGCUGUGAAAGUCAAGGGCUCAACCCUUGAAUGCCGGUUGAUACUGUCGGGCUAGAGUCCGGAAGAGGCGAGUGGAAUUCCUGGUGUAGCGGUGGAAUGCGCAGAUAUCAGGAGGAGCACCGGUGGCGAAGGCGGGUCUCUGGGCAGUAACUGACGCUGAGGAGCGAAAGCGUGGGGAGCAAACAGG